GGACGUGUAGCUCAGUGGUUAGAGCAUCGAUCUUAUAAGUCGAGGGUCCUUGGUUCAAAUCCAAGCACGUCCA
rnacentral:tRNA from 1 species